ensembl:lncRNA
AGAUCUAAUUAAAAAAAAAAAAAAAAAAAAAAAAAAAAUAUACAUAUGCAUAUGUACACAUUUAUUAAUAUAUAACUCGAAAUAUAGAAAUAUGUACAAUAUAUAUUACUGUACUUAACUUUUUUUUUUUCCUAAAAAAAAAAUUAAACCGGGCAAGCAAUUGUCUUUUUUUUUACACAUGUUUUAUACUUUUGUUUUAAUUUGCUUUAUUUUGUUCUAUUUUAUGUUUUUUUUUUUUUUUUUUGCUAUUAAAAUUAGGAAAAUUUUAUAUAUAAAAUUAUAAUUUUUUUUUUUCUUACUUCUCUUGCUAUUCUUAACACAUUUAACUGUGCUGUGCUCAUGCAUUUUUAUUUGUUUUAAAAAAAUGUGCUUAAAAAAUAGUAUAUAAUUAAAGGAUUACAACAAAAAUAUUAAUUAUUUUCCAAAUAGACUGAUGAACAAGAUGGGCUUAAAUGGCAAUGUGGAUAUUACAAAUUUAAUAAACGAAAGGGAUAGCUGGAUGAAGAAGUAUGAGGUAAUGGAAUCAGAGUAUUUAAGCCUAAAAGACAAAUUAAAAAAUAUGACAGACAGUAGUAAUAAUAAGAACAAAGUAAAGGAGGAUUAUGAGACUAUAGUGAAAGAUAUGUUCUUGAGAUAUAAAUAUAUGAAAAAUCAGCACGAAUAUUUGAACUUACAAAAUAAAAUUAUAAAUCUGGAAAAAGAGAAAGAAAUAAAGAAGAAUCAAGAGCUCCAGAAAAUUAUUAAUAAAAAUAAGAACGAAAUAGAAGGAUAUAAAAAGAUUUUAGAAAAAUUAAAAUAUAUGAACGCAGAUUUUAAAAAAAAGAAAAAUGAUGCUGAAAACCAAAUGUAUUCUAUAAUAGAAAGUAAUAUAAUAACAAAAAAUGAUAACAUUCUAUUAAAAGAUAUAAUAAAAGUUAACGAUAAAUUAAAUAGUAUUAAUAAAUCAGUACAUGAGAAGAUAUAUACCGAGUUUGAAAAUAUAAAAACUAAAUUGAUGCAAGCAAAUAACAAAAUUAAAAAAUAUCAUGAAGUUAUUACUGAAAUUUGUGAAAGUUAUUUAAAAUAUAAAAAAAAUAAAAAAAAAGAAUUAUUGGAAAUAUUAAAAAUUAAUGAAACAUUAAAAAAAAAAUUAGAAGAGAAAAUGUCUAUUGAAAAAUAUAAUACAGAAUAUAAAAAUAAAACAGAAAAUUUAAAAACUUCUAACAUAUUAUUUGUUUAUUAUCAAAUAAAAUAUAACGUAUACAACGAAACAUUAGAUAUGGUGUUAAAAUAUGUUCAUUCAAUUAUGAGUAGUGUACAUAGGGUAGUAAGUAAUGAUUUUAUAAAUGGUAAAAACAUGGUCAAAGAUAGCAACUUACCAAAUAAUAUAUAUGUAUUCAAUAAUAGUAAUGACGUAUACAGUUCUGAAAAAAUAAACGAAAAUAAACAUACCGUUGCUAAUGAAGAUAACAUACGUAAAGAUAUUUUUAACGCUUUUUGUAAUAAUAAAAUAAGUAAAAUUAACUGUAAUAUCGACCUAAAUGAUUUAAUAGUAAGUUUAAGAGAAAAGGGAUUAAAAUAUUAUAUUUUUGAUACUAUAAGAAAUAAAAAUAGUGAAAUAUUAUCUGAAUAUGAUGGUACAACUAUUACAACACUUUCAAAGAAUGAACAAAAAAAUGAACAAAAUUCUUUUGACUUGUUCCUAUUUAAUAAUUUAAACUCAACUAACAUUAUACAUGUAAUAUAUUAUAGUAUAAAAAUGAUUAAUGAUAUAUUAGAAUGUAUGAAUAUAACUUUAUUACUACUUUCAUAUAUACAUGACACAUAUUUAAAAGAAGCAAUCAAUACCAUUAAAUCUUCAUUGUUUGUUGCUUCACCACAAAAAAGUAAUAUCAGGUUUGCUGUUAAUUUUUUUAUAACUCUUUCCGAUUUUUUAUUUUGUAUAAACAAAUAUAUACAAAUUUUUAAAACAUCAACCAAUAUUAAUCAUAUUUAUUUAUUAACGAAUGAAAAGUUGUGUAUUUCUUUUUGUUUAUGUAAAUAUAUACUAGAGCAAUAUAUAGAUAAAAUAAAAAUUCGAUUAUUUUCUUGUAAUGUCAAUUAUUAUAUAUUAGAAAGCAUGAUAAACAAACUGAAUGAAUCAUAUUUAGAUUUAAUCAAAACAGUACAGUCAGAAAAAAAUUGUAACGUUGGAGAUGUUGGUUUAGAACAAAAGUCUCACUCUGAAGAAAACACAAAAUAUAUUUUAGAUCAAAAAGGCGAUGAUGCAGGUCAAUCAAAAGUGGUAGACAAAGUAGACACAAUAAAGGAGACAAAACAUAUAGAAGCAAUAAAUGCAGUAGAAGCAAACGGAGAGACAAAAAAUACAGACACGAUAAACAAACCCGAACCAACAUCUGCUUUCGAAAUCGUCACAUUCCUAAACAAAAUCGUAGCGAUGAGUAUACUACUAGUAACAGAUAAAGAUACGUAUGAAAACAUGUUUAAAACUAUUGAUACAAAAUUACAAAAAUACAUAAUA